CGUGCUAAGGCUCUGUCGGGAACAUGUUGGUCCCUGUUCCAAGAGUGAUGAAGAGAUGUUGCCGAAUUUGAAGUUUGAAGAAAGCGAUGUGCAACCAUAUUCACAUUUUUCUAAGAGCCCUCUAGCUGCUGAGUAGAAAACAGAAUGAAGUAGGAGCAAGAGCAGGUGCCUCCUGUUAGAGUUCAAAGCCGUGGGAACCCAGAAGCCAGAACAGCCAAGGGGAGCUGCGUCUGCCUCCAGAGUCUCCACAUAUGAAGGGUGUGCCUCCGAAACCCCAGCUUCCGUUCUACAAGAGUCCCCUUUUCGUGCAUACCUAAUGAGUAAUCAGAUUUCCUCUUCCUGCCUUUGAGAAGCAACAACAGAAAGAUGGAGGAACUGGACGGCAGGAACGUGGGCAGCUUCUAGCAGCUGGGAGCAGCCUCGUUAGUCAGCAAUGAAACAGGGACCUGAUGACUCCAACUGCAAGGAACUGAAUUCUGCCUCUAAGAAGGAUGGUCAUGGAGCACACUUUUCUCCAGAGCCUCCGUAUGAGAACUCAGCCCGGAUAACACGUUGUUUUUCGCCUUAUGAAACCCUGAGCAGAGAAGCUGGGCUCUGACCUGCAGAACUGUGAGCUAAUGCAUGGCGGGUUCCUUUAAGCUUCUAAGUGUGUAUUUAUGCAGCAAGAGAAAACUAAUGCAACGGGCAAAUCUUCAUCUGCUAUUCCAUCUAUAUCAGAUCUCUAUGGACAUUUCUUACAAAAUCAUGAAGAAUCUCAGCUGUAGUCCUCAGAUUUCAUAAUAUAUUUCUGGAUAGAGAUCCUUUAAGAGAGCUCAUGAGGGGAGCACAUGAGCUGAGGAAGAAAACGCCUGGGAGAAGCAAGAAGGACCCACAGAAACUGAGAGAGCUCUUCUAAAACCG